UAGGGAAUCUUCGGCAAUGGACGAAAGUCUGACCGAGCAACGCCGCGUGAGUGAAGAAGGUUUUCGGAUCGUAAAACUCUGUUGGUAGAGAAGAACGUUGGUGAGAGUGGAAAGCUCAUCAAGUGACGGUAACUACCCAGAAAGGGACGGCUAACUACGUGCCAGCAGCCGCGGUAAUACGUAGGUCCCGAGCGUUGUCCGGAUUUAUUGGGCGUAAAGCGAGCGCAGGUGGUUUAUUAAGUCUGGUGUAAAAGGCAGUGGCUCAACCAUUGUAUGCAUUGGAAACUGGUAGACUUGAGUGCAGGAGAGGAGAGUGGAAUUCCAUGUGUAGCGGUGAAAUGCGUAGAUAUAUGGAGGAACACCGGUGGCGAAAGCGGCUCUCUGGCCUGUAACUGACACUGAGGCUCGAAAGCGUGGGGAGCAAACAGGAUUAGAUACCCUGGUAGUCCACGCCGUAAACGAUGAGUGCUAGAUGUAGGGAGUUAUAAGUUCUCUGUAUCGCAGCUAACGCAAUAAGCACUCCGCCUGGGGAGUACGACCGCAAGGUUGAAAC
rnacentral:rRNA from 1 species